rnacentral:rRNA from 1 species
UACGUAUGUCCCGAGCGUUAUCCGGAGUUAUUGGGCGUAAAGCGAGCGCAGACGGUUAAUUAAGUCUGAUGUGAAAGCCCGGAGCUCAACUCCGGAAAGGCAUUGGAAACUGGUUAACUUGAGUGCAGUAGAGGUAAGUGGAACUCCAUGUGUAGCGGUGGAAUGCGUAGAUAUAUGGAAGAACACCAGCGGCGAAGGCGGCUUACUGGACUGUAACUGACGCUGAGGAGCGAAAGCGUGGGUAGCGAACAGG